rnacentral:sRNA from 1 species
GCCGGGUGCCGUGGCUCACACCUGUAAUCCUAGCACUUUGGGAGGCUGAGGUGGGUGGAUCACCUGAGGUCAGGAGUUCAAGACCAGCCUGGCCAACAUGGUGAAAACCCAUCUCUA